AGUGAACGCUGGCGGUAGGCCUAACACAUGCAAGUCGAACGGCAGCACAGUAAGAGCUUGCUCUUACGGGUGGCGAGUGGCGGACGGGUGAGGAAUACAUCGGAAUCUACUUUUUCGUGGGGGAUAACGUAGGGAAACUUACGCUAAUACCGCAUACGACCUACGGGUGAAAGCAGGGGAUCUUCGGACCUUGCGCGAUUGAAUGAGCCGAUGUCGGAUUAGCUAGUUGGCGGGGUAAAGGCCCACCAAGGCGACGAUCCGUAGCUGGUCUGAGAGGAUGAUCAGCCACACUGGAACUGAAACACGGUCCAGACUCCUACGAGAGGCAGCAGUGGGGAAUAUUGGACAAUGGGCGCAAGCCUGAUCCAGCCAUACCGCGUGGGUGAAGGAGGCCUUCGGGUUGUAAAGCCCUUUUGUUGGGAAAGAAAAGCAGCAGGUUAAUACCCCGCUGUUCUGACGGUACCCAAAGAAUAAGCACCGGCUAACUUCGUG
rnacentral:rRNA from 1 species